rnacentral:rRNA from 1 species
AACGAACGCUGGCGGCAGGCUUAACACAUGCAAGCCGAACGCAUCCUUCGGGGUGAGUGGCAGACGGGUGAGUAACGCGUGGGAACGUGCCCUUCAGUUCGGGAUAACCCAGGGAAACUUGGGCUAAUACCGGAUACGUGCGAGAGCAGAAAGAUUUAUCGCUGAAGGAUCGGCCCGCGUCUGAUUAGCUAGUUGGUGGGGUAAUGGCCCACCAAGGCGACGAUCAGUAGCUGGUCUGAGAGGAUGAUCAGCCACAUUGGGACUGAGACACGGCCCAAACUCCUACGGGAGGAAGCAGUGGGGAAUAUUGGACAAGGGGCGCAAGCCUGAUCCAGCCAUGCCGCGUGAGUGAUGAAGGCCUUAGGGUUGUAAAGCUCUUUCGUCCGGGACGAUAAUGACGGUACCGGAAGAAGAAGCCCCGGCUAACUUCGUGCCAGCAGCCGCCGUAA